UUCACGGUAGCCUAGUUGGUUAGGGCGUCGGCAGUACUGAUACCGAAGGUCGCAGGUUCAAAUCCUGCCUGCUGUGAAA